rnacentral:rRNA from 1 species
GACAGAGGUCCCGAGCGUUAGGCGGAUUCACUGGGCUUAAAGGGCGCGUAGGCGGGCGGUCAAGUCAAGGGUGAAAUCUUUCAGCUCAACUGGAAAAGUGCCUUUGAUACUGAUCGUCUUGAGGGAGGUAGGGGCAUGUGGAACUUCCGGUGGAGCGGUGAAAUGCGUAGAUAUCGGAAGGAACGCCGGUGGCGAAAGCGACGUGCUGGACCUCUUCUGACGCUGAGGCGCGAAAGCUAGGGGAGCAAACGGG